GAUGAACGCUGGCGGCGUGCCUAAUACAUGCAAGUCGAGCGAACAGACGCGGCGCUUGCUCCUCUGACGUUAGCGGCGGGCGGGUGAGUCACGCGUGGAUAACCUCCCUAUCUGUCUGGGAUAUCUUCGGGAAACCGGCGCUAAUCCCGGAUGAUCUAUUGAACCGCAUGGUUCAUUAGUAAAAGUCGGCUGUGCGGGAUCUUCUCGCUGCAUUCGAGCCGCAUGAGCUAGUUGGUACGGUAACAGGCUACCAAGGCAACGAUGCGUAGCCGACCGACUGGGGUGGUCGCCCGCACGGGAACGGGGCCGCGCACCUGGGGCCUACGGUACGCAGCAGAAGGGAACGUUCCGCAAUGGGCGAGAGCCUGACGGAGCAACGCCGCGUCAGAGAUGAAGGUCUUCGGAGCGUAAUGCCCUGUUAUGAGUGAAGAACAGAUGUGUAAGUAACCAUGCACGUCGUGACGGUACCUAGUCAGAAAGCCCCGGCUAACUACGUG
rnacentral:rRNA from 1 species